UGGGGAAUAUUGCGCAAUGGGCGAAAGCCUGACGCAGCGACGCCGCGUGAGGGAUGAAGGUCUUCGGAUCGUAAACCUCUGUCAGAAGGGAAGAACGUACUGUGUGCUAAUCAGCGCAGUAGUGACGGUACCUUCAAAGGAAGCACCGGCUAACUCCGUGCCAGCAGCCGCGGUAAUACGGAGGGUGCAAGCGUUAAUCGGAAUCACUGGGCGUAAAGCGCACGUAGGCUGUCGUGUAAGUCAGGGGUGAAAGCCCACGGCUCAACCGUGGAAUUGCCCUUGAUACUGCAUGACUGGAAUCCGGGAGAGGGUGGCGGAAUUCCAGGUGUAGG
rnacentral:rRNA from 1 species